AGUGAACGCUGGCGGUAGGCCUAACACAUGCAAGUCGAACGGCAGCACAGUAAGAGCUUGCUCUUACGGGUGGCGAGUGGCGGACGUGUGAGGAAUACAUCGGAAUCUACUUUUUCGUGGGGGAUAACGUAGGUAAACUUACUCUAAUACCGCAUACGACCUACGGGUGAAAGCAGUGGAUCUUCGGACCUUGCGCGAUUGAAUGAGCCGAUGUCGGAUUAGCUAGUUGGCGGGGUAAAGGCCCACCAAGGCGACGAUCCGUAGCUGGUCUGAGAGGAUGAUCAGCCACACUGGAACUGAGACACGGUCCAGACUCCUACGGGAGGCAGCAGUGGGGAAUAUUGGACAAUGGGCGCAAGCCUGAUCCAGCCAUACCGCGUGGGUGAAGAAGGCCUUCGGGUUGUAAAGCCCUUUUGUUGGGAAAGAAAAGCAGCAGGUUAAUACCCAGCUGUUCUGACGGUACCCAAAGAAUAAGCACCGGCUAACUUCGUG
rnacentral:rRNA from 1 species